rnacentral:rRNA from 1 species
UACGUAGGGCGCAAGCGUUGUCCGGAUUUAUUGGCGUAAAGAGCUCGUAGGCGGUUUGGUAAGUCUGGUGUGAAAUCUCCACGCUCAACGUGGAGGGGCCACCCGAUACUGCCAUGACUGGAGUCCGGUAGAGGAGUGUGGAAUUCCCGGUGUAGCGGUGAAAUGCGCAGAUAUCGGGAGGAACACCAAUGGCGAAGGCAGCUUGCUGGGACGGUACUGACGCUGAGGAGCGAAAGCAUGGGGAGCGAACAGG